UACGUAGGGCGCAAGCGUUGUCCGGAAUUAUUGGGCGUAAAGAGCUCGUAGGCGGCUUGUCACGUCGGGUGUGAAAGCCCGGGGCUUAACCCCGGGUCUGCAUUCGAUACGGGCGGGCUAGAGUGUGGUAGGGGAGAUCGGAAUUCCUGGUGUAGCGGUGAAAUGCGCAGAUAUCAGGAGGAACACCGGUGGCGAAGGCGGAUCUCUGGGCCAUUACUGACGCUGAGGAGCGAAAGCGUGGGGAGCGAACAGG
rnacentral:rRNA from 1 species